AGAAAAAGUGUGGGAUUUUAAGGGAUUAAGCUAAUAAAGGCUCGAGGUAGCCUGUGGAUAGCAGAUAUCGUCAUGGAUUAUAGUUGGCUU